AUAUAUCCCGAUCCUUUCACCGUCUUCCUUUCAUCUCCCACCGCUUUUUCAUCUCCAUCCUUCCACAAGGUUUCUCUUAGCAGAUCCUCUAUUCGCACACCGAUGAGGAGCACGAACGCAACAGAUCAGGGAGGUGGGGAGGAUGGUUCGAUGGUGGCAAAUCUGUUGAGUAGGGGGGUAGUUGACCUCCGGUCGCCCCUUUGUGGUGUACUCUUCGUCUGGUAGAGAGAGAGAGAGAGAGAGGGAAAAAAGAAAAACGAACGGAAAUACAUAAGAAAGAAAAAAGAGAACGAAUGGAGACGGUUCUGACCACCGAAGAGGGCAGCAGUGGCGUCCGGUCGGAGAUGUCGAGGAAUCGACAUACAAGAAGAAUCAGGAAGGUAAACAUAGCUUCAAAAAUCCCCGAUUAAAAACCCUAUCGACUCCUGCAUCUGGGUUCUUGAAAAAUUUCAUUUAUCGGAGGCUCGGGGUUCGCGUCGGACUUUCCAGAGCAGUGUAAAACUCCUUCUCCGAUAUCAUCAGUGCUGAUCCGUCCAAAUUAGGUAGAUUAAGGCACCCAAGACCGAUAAAGUGUUCCAUGGCGAUUAAACGCUAAUCUAUAUGGUAUGUAGUCUUCGUCAACGAGAUGUUAGUCUUAAUUAGAGACGACGUCGAAUUUCAGGUGGACAAGCAUAUUUUCAAUCCUUUAUCAAUUUGAUUAUUUUUCUUUUCUAAAUUCUCACAAUCGCCUGCAUCAGUCUCCAUCAAUUACUUUAUCUGUUUUUGAUCAAUAACUUCUUUUCUAUGACUCUUCCAUCCCUCUUUCAGGUUAGCGUUUUGCUUAAUAGGAUGUAGAUUAAUGGUUGUUUGUAAGUAAUUCUUCAGAAUCACAGGAAUAGAGCAAAAUGUGCGACCAUUUGAGAAGCAACAGCGACAGGGGAGUCAUGAUUCACGAUCAAAACUCCCGAUUUUCCAUCAACGGAAAACCCAUUUUCCAUAUCGUCCCAUUUUUGGCUUGGGAGCUGUGGGGCUUGCUUUGCUGAAGGUGCUAGAGUUGCAGGUGCUUCAAGGAUCAUUAGUGUUGAUCUCAAUGCCAACAGAUUUGAGCUCGGAGUUGAAUCAAUUGCAGUGCCUUGCCAAAAUAUCAGUCAACAUGCUCUGAAUCCAUUCGCUCAACGUUGUGUUCUCGAUACCUGCUUCUUUCAUCAGCUCCAUCACAUGAGGUGACGUAUUGGGACCCUGGAUCAGCAGAAAGGGCUUGUGAAGACCCCAACCCCGUGAUGGAUGAGGAAGAGGUAACUAUAAUAUCGAAUCUAUUGGUCGUCCUCGAGCUUCUCCUCAAGGAAGGAAUCAACGUGGGAAUAUUGCAUUUCAAGGGACAAAUACAAUGGCCCAAGGUGCAUCAUCAUCUUACAAUGGUGUAGAACCACCACUUGCUCCUCCUCUUCCACCACCACCUUCCGUCAUGUACCCACCGUAUCGUUGCUGCCAAUGGGUCGGUGUUGGACGUGCUUUCUUUGCCUUGUAUGCUGGUGUUUUUCUUGAAUGAACUAAGAACUUGAGUUGAAACUCAUUUAAUUUCUGAGUUCAGGUUUAUUAGUUAAUGAUGUACACCAACAUUUUGAAUUCCUAUUACUUGUAAAUAUGAUUUUUGACUUCCACCA